rnacentral:snRNA from 1 species
GUGCUCGCUUCAGCAGUAUAUAUACUAAAAUUGGAACAAUACAGAGAUUAGCAUGGCUCCUGCCCAAGGAUGAUAUGUGAAUUCAUGAAGUGUUCCAUAUUUUU